UACGGAAGGCAGCAGUGGGGAAGUAUUGCACAAUGGGCGCAAGCCUGAUGCAGCCAUGCCGCGUGUAUGAAGAAGGCCUUCGGGUUGUAAAGUACUUUCAGUCGUGAGGAAGGUGUUAAGGUUAAUAACCUUAGCAAUUGACGUUAGCGACAGAAGAAGCACCGGCUAACUCCGUGCCAGCAGCCGCGGUAAUACGGAGGGUGCGAGCGUUAAUCGGAAUUACUGGGCGUAAAGGGCACGCAGGCGGUUAAUUAAGUUGGAUGUGAAAUCCCCGGGCUUAACCUGGGAAUGGCAUUCAAGACUGGUUAGCUAGAGUCUUGUAGAGGGGGUAGAAUUCCAUGUGUAGCGGUGAAAUGCGUAGAGAUGUGGAGGAAUACCGGUGGGCGAAAGGCGGCCCCCUGGGACAAAAGACUGACGCUCAUGUGCGAAAGCGUGGGGAGCAAAACAGGGAUUAGAUACCC
rnacentral:rRNA from 1 species